rnacentral:rRNA from 1 species
UACGGGGGGGGCAAGCGUUGUUCGGAAUUACUGGGCGUAAAGGGUGCGUAGGCGGUUCGUUAAGUUGGAUGUGAAAACUCUGGGCUCAACCCAGAGCCUGCAUCCAAAACUGGCGGGCUAGAGUUCUGGAGGGGGUAGCGGAAUUCCUGGUGUAGCGGUGAAAUGCGUAGAUAUCAGGAGGAACACCGGUGGCGAAGGCGGCUACCUGGACAGAAACUGACGCUGAGGCACAAAAGCUAGGGGAGCAAACAGG